CAGCUCUGCGCCGCGGGCCCCCGGAACUGUCCGACCCAGCGGGAGCGCGGGCUGAGCGGCCGCUCGCGGUCUCCACGCUCGGCGCCUGCGCGCCCGGCCUCGCCCAGAAUCCAAACAUCUAGCUGGCCUGGCUCACUCUACUAAAGACAGACCCAAACUGAAACCGAGAUCUGCCACCCUAAACUAGGAGCAUCCGGAUAGUAACACACCAGGCUAGCACAUCAUGGAGACACCCCUCAUUGGAAGGAACAGAGCAGAAAGAGGUUCAUUUAAGUCUUGCCCCAAUUUGUGUUUAUGAGGAAACCAGCAGUCGAGUUCAAAAGUGUCACCAAACAGGAAUCAGUAACAUUGGUAGGAUCCAAGAGAAACCACCAGGCCUCUGCCAAAUCAGCACAAGGACCAGCCAGAAAGCCAGGAGUUCUCUGCCGUGCCUCUCUCAACAAAGUGAAGAUCAACAAAGAUGAAAUACCCAGUGAAGAGUUGCACAGCUAACUAUGCAGGCACCCUGUCUCUGUCCAUUGAAUCUUAUUUAUACUCUCUCUAAACAUCACAUGUCCUCCCACGGGUCUUGCCUCAGCAAAACACCACUCGAGUCUGCAUCACAUGACACAACCAGACACUCCUACUUUACUGAACUGUGGUCAUUCAUAUUUGGUUCAGAAAAAAAAUUUUUCUUAUUCAUUUUGGAGAAAGAGAUACAUUCCUGCAAAUGCUAGAAGAUCUUCUGCUUCCUUUCAAUUUCCACAAUUUAUGAGAAAUUAAUGAAACCUGAGUCUUAGAAACUGUGUUCUUUAAAACUCUAACUCAGAUUGAGGUAAAAGAAAGUAUUUGUUAAAAAUAAUUUAUAUUAAUUACUAUUUUUAUUCAGUUACAUUUAUUUAUUGGGGAUCAGGUGCACAUGUCAUGCAUGUAGAGAUCAGAGGGCAUCUUUGUAGGAAUUGGUCUCCUAGGUUACAGAGGUAGACAGAGGUGGAGUUCCAGUCUCGGGCUCAGUGGCAAGUACUUUGACCCACUGGGCCAUACAUGAAGCCCCACUUACAUUAAUUAAGGAUCUCUACUCAUUCAAGAUAGAUACUGAUGAAUUGUAACAAACAUUAUUGUGGCUUUAUUGACCAGGUGAUUUUCAGUAUCCCUUUCUCUUACAUUUACUUAAAAGUACGGACACCAUUAGACCGUUAAGGUCAAUGUGUUGGCUUCUCUACGGAAGUUCCAACUUGAACUGCUCAUUUAUCUCCAUAACAAUCAAUAAACAAAAUGUGGAGGAGUUUGUUUUAGAUGGGAAUCUUAAAGUUACUUCUGCUGCGUCAGUUUGUAUUUCUCAUUUUUGAGUCUGCAUUAUCUUUUAAAUCUAACUCUAGUGUCUAUAUUCAGAAGGUGAAGACAGAAAAAAAAAAAAGUUAAACCUCAAGCUUUCUUCCUGAGCCAAGUUGUUGUCUUUUUCUUCUGUCUUGGAGGUUGUUUUAAUAUGAAUCAUUAGUAUUCUUUGAAAAAGAAUUGCCCUCUUGGCCUAUAAUUAUAUUUUAAGUGGAGAUUCAGUUUCUUUUCAUCUUUUUUUUCUUUAAUUCAAUGAUCUUAGCAGAGAAAGGCCACAUA